rnacentral:rRNA from 1 species
AUACGUAGGGGGCGAGCGUUGUCCGGAAUGAUUGGGCGUAAAGGGCGCGUAGGCGGCGCGGUAAGUCUGGAGUGAAAGUCCUGCUUUCAAGGUGGGAAUUGCUUUGGAUACUGCCGCGCUUGAGUGCAGGAGAGGUUAUCGGAAUUCCCGGUGUAGCGGUGAAAUGCGUAGAGAUCGGGAGGAACACCAGUGGCGAAGGCGGGUAACUGGACUGCAACUGACGCUGAGGCGCGAAAGUGUGGGGAGCAAACAGGAUUAGAUACCCUGGUAGUCCACACUGUAAACGAUGAAUGCUAGGUGUAAGAGGUAUCGACCCCUUUUGUGCCGGAGUCAACACAAUAAGCAUUCCGCCUGGGGAGUACGGCCGCAAGGUUGAAACUCAAAUGAAUUGGCGGGU